rnacentral:rRNA from 1 species
UGGGGAAUUUUGGACAAUGGGCGAAAGCCUGAUCCAGCAACGCCGCGUGUGUGAAGAAGGCCUUCGGGUUGUAAAGCACUUUUGUCCGGAAAGAAAUCCUUGGCUCUAAUACAGUCGGGGGAUGACGGUACCGGAAGAAUAAGCACCGGCUAACUACGUGCCAGCAGCCGCGGUAAUACGUAGGGUGCAAGCGUUAAUCGGAAUUACUGGGCGUAAAGCGUGCGCAGGCGGUUUGCUAAGACCGAUGUGAAAUCCCCGGGCUCAACCUGGGAACUGCAUUGGUGACUGGCAGGCUAGAGUAUGGCAGAGGGGGGUAGAAUUCCACGUGUAGCAGUGAAAUGCGUAGAGAUGUGGAGGAAUACCGAUGGCGAAGGCAGCCCCCUGGGCCAAUACUGACGCUCAUGCACGAAAGCGUGGGGAGCAAACAGGAUUAGAUACCCUGGUAGUCCACGCCCUAAACGAUGUCAACUAGUUGUUGGGGAUUCAUUUCCUUAGUAACGUAGCUAACGCGUGAAGUUGACCGCCUGGGGGAGUACGGUCGCAAGAUUAAAACUUAAAUGAAUUGACGGGGUCAUAGCUG